rnacentral:rRNA from 1 species
UACGGAGGGUGCGAGCGUUGUCCGGAAUCACUGGGCUUAAAGGGCGCGUAGGCGGUCCGCCAAGUCAGGGGUGAAAUCCUGCAGCUUAACUGUAGAAGUGCCUCUGAUACUGGCGGUCUUGAGGGAAAUAGGGGUGUGCGGAACUUCCAGUGGAGCGGUGAAAUGCGUUGAUAUUGGAAGGAACGCCGGAGGCGAAAGCGAGGUCCUGGACGUUUUCUGACGCUGAGACGCGAAAGCCAGGGGAGCGAACGGG